rnacentral:rRNA from 1 species
AAUCAACGCUGGCGGCGUGCCUAACACAUGCAAGUCGAACGCGAAAGCCCCGCAAGGGGCAAGUAGAGUGGCAAACGGGUGAGUAACGCGUGGGUGACCUGCCCUCGAGCGGGGGAGUAACGUUCCGAAGGGACGCUAAUACCGCAUAACAUCCUGCCCUUGAACGGGUGGAGAUCAAAGCUGGGGAUUCGCAAGAACCCGGCACUUGAAGAGGGGCCCGCGUCUGAUUAGCUAGUUGGUGAGGAACGGCUCACCAAGGCAACGAUCAGUAUCCGGCCUGAGAGGGCGGACGGACACACUGGGACUGAGACACGGCCAGACUCCUACGGGAGGCAGCAGUGGGGAAUUGUUCGCAAUGGGCGCAAGCCUGACGACGCAACGCCGCGUGGAGGAU